rnacentral:rRNA from 1 species
CAGGGAGGUAGUGACAAGAAAUAACAAUACGGGGCUUAAUGUCUUGUAAUUGGAAUGAUGGGAAUUUAAACCUCUUCCAGAGUAUCAAUUGGAGGGCAAGUCUGGUGCCAGCAGCCGCGGUAAUUCCAGCUCCAAUAGCGUAUAUUAAAAUUGUUGCAGUUAAAAAGCUCGUAGUUGAAUUUCUGCUGCAUCGUCGCAUCUCUUGCUGAGUGCUUCAUUGCGGCUUAUUUCGGAUUGAUUUUUUCUUUCCGGAUGAUUACUUUGGGAAAAUUAGAGUGCUCAAAGCAGGCUUUUGCCUUGAAUAGUUUAGCAUGGAAUAAUAAAGUAGGACUUUGGUUCUAUUUUGUUGGUUUUAGGUACCAAAGUAAUGGUUAAUAGGAACAGUUGGGGGCACUCGUAUUUAACUGUCAGAGGUGAAAUUCUUAGAUUUGUUAAAGACGAACUACUGCGAAAGCAUUUGCCAAGGAUGUUUUCAUUAAUCAAAAACGAAAGUUAGGGGAUCGAAGACGAUCAGAUACCGUCGUAUUCCUAACCAUAAACUAUGCCGACUAGAGAUUGGAGGUCGUCAGUUUUUACGACUCCUUCAACCCCUUGAGAGAAAUCAAAGUCUUGG